GAGCGGCCUUGUUCAGAGCAGGAUGUUCUCAUGUCUCAGCUUACCUGGAAGCAUUUUCGAUACACCUGUUGGGACAAUAAGUUCUGCUAAGAGAAGGGAAGUAGCAGACUUUGUUCUAUUUUUUUUUUUUUACUCUCAAUUGACUAAGUUUUCAUUGUGUCGGUUUCUCUUACAGAAACUAACACAGACAGAAGAAAAAGUUAUAGGAGUCCGUGCUGCUUGGCAAGAGUGCAAAAUAUGUGCACAUAAAUAUUUACAUGGAACAUGAGAGUAAACUAGGAAAUUAAGGAUAGUAUAAAAAGAAGGAAGGAAAGAAAAAAAAAAACCGAGUUAAAAGUAUGAGAUAAAAGUGAAAAGGUGUCUAGAAUGAGCACGUUACUGAGGUCAGGCCCCAACUUUAGCUUUGAGUUUCCUGGCAGCAAUGGUGAAAAAGGAAACGAUGCCCCUGCUUCAAGAGAUGGUCUGACAACUGGAAAAUCCUCGGGUGAACAUUGAGAUGCAGGGACCUGGUCAGCACCUGCAUGAAUGAAUGGCUCAGAGCCCUCGAAGCACAGAGAUGGGCUCACGGUAGUCUCUGAAAAACUGUAAACGAGAACCAAGCCUGGCCUCCCAUGCUGAGCAAUUGGAAAACAGAAGCAAUUGUUGAAUCCUGGACACCUAAGCCCACACACCUGUCAGUGCUCAACAUUACUGUGUCAUUCUCCUGGUUUUUAGCAUCUCUGGCUUGCUCACGGCAGUAUGGAGGAACGGAGCAUUGGAGUGAGGACGCCACAGAAAUGCAAGGCCUACACAUCACCGAAUAUCACGAGACAGUAGACAGCAGCUCAGA